CGCCGAAUCCUGCCGCCGCCCGAGGGAAGCAGUCGAUAUCGACUGGCGGCAGGAGCGGGGGAACCAAGUGAGCCGACAUCGGCACUGCCGAUGCCUGGGGUGAAGCCAUGCCUGUGACAGGCGAGGCCGGGCCAAUCGUCCGAACCCGACAGCUAACUUCGUAGGCGCCCGACGAGGUAAUCA
rnacentral:sRNA from 2 species